UACGGGGGGGGCAAACGUUGUUCGGAAUUACUGGGCGUAAAGCGCGUGUAGGCGGCUCUGCAAGUCGGGUGUGAAAUCCCACGGCUCAACCGUGGAAGUGCAUUCGAAACUGCAGAGCUAGAGUCCUGGAGAGGAAGGUGGAAUGCUUGGUGUAGAGGUGAAAUUCGUAGAUAUCAAGCGGAACACCGGUGGCGAAGGCGGCCUUCUGGACAGUGACUGACGCUGAGACGCGAAAGCGUGGGGAGCAAACAGG
rnacentral:rRNA from 1 species